AGUGAACGCUGGCGGUAGGCCUAACACAUGCAAGUCGAACGGCAGCACAGUAAGAGCUUGCUCUUACGGGUGGCGAGUGGCGGACGGGUGAGGAAUACAUCGGAAUCUACUUUUUCGUGGGGGAUAACGUAGGGAAACUUACGCUAAUACCGCAUACGACCUACGGGUGAAAGCAGGGGAUCUUCGUACCUUGCGCGAUUGAAUGAGCCGAUGUCGGAUUAGCUAGUUGGCGGGGUAAAGGCCCACCAAGGCGACGAUUCGUAGCUGGUCUGAGAGGAUGAUCAGCCACACUGGAACUGAGACACGGUCCAGACUCCUACGGGAGGCAGCAGUGGGGAAUAUUGGACAAUGGGCGCAAGCCUGAUCCAGCCAUACCGCGUGGGUGAAGAAGGCCUUCGGGUUGUAAAGCCCUUUUGUUGGGAAAGAAAAGCAGCAGGUUAAUACCCCGCUGCUCUGACGGUACCAAAAGAAUAAGCACCGGCUAACUUCGUG
rnacentral:rRNA from 1 species